rfam:Ornithorhynchus anatinus chromosome 7, whole genome shotgun sequence.
AUUGGCAUUAAUGAUGAUUUUUCUUUUUGCCGUUUACCCGGCUGAGUGCUUCUUUGAAGUGGACUUAAAUCUGAGAUGCCAUU